rnacentral:lncRNA from 1 species
UUACAAGUUUCCCUCGUCCCUUCUUCUUCAUUCUUCCACAUUAGUCUAGAAGCUUCUGCUUCUGCCAUGGCAGACUGAAUCGAGCUUUAGUGCUCCAGCUUUUAGCUCCAAUCUUCACAUGGUAUAAGAGCGAGGCUGAUCUCGUGGAUAGAUCUGGUUUCUCUAUCCUAUUUUCAUCUAUUUUUUCGAUUUGAUUUCACUGAUUUUAGAUCUGGACUAAAUUUCUCUUUUGUUUCGUUCAAACUGUCGAGCUAUUCUAAUGACUGAAAAUUGAAAGUCCUUGAAUUUUCUUUCUCGAAUUGUUUUGUUAUGGCUGUAACUAAUCAAGGUGAUUCGAUCGGUGUCGAAACUGCUACAAAUGUUGCUCCGGUGGGUGCAGGGAUUGAUCCUAGUGAUCCUCUGUACCUUCAUCCAUCUGAUAACCCAGGAGCUAUGCUGGUUUCAACUGCAUUUGAUGGAAUAGGUUAUAGAUAUUUGAGAAUAAGUGUAUUGAAG